rnacentral:rRNA from 1 species
UACAGAGGUCUCAAGCGUUGUUCGGAUUCAUUGGGCGUAAAGGGUGCGUAGGUGGCGCGCUAAGUCAGGUGUGAAAUUUCGGAGCUUAACUCCGAAACUGCAUUUGAUACUGGCGUGCUUGAGGACUGGAGAGGAGACUGGAAUUCAUGGUGUAGCGGUGAAAUGCGCAGAUAUCAGGAGGAACACCGGUGGCGAAGGCGGGUCUCUGGGCCUUACCUGACGCUGAGGAGCGAAAGCGUGGGGAGCGAACAGG